UUAAAAUAAUCCAAACUCUCAUUCAACCUAAAAUUACACACCGAAACAAAAAUGACGCAGCCACUGUGUUAGAGGAAGGACGAAAAUGACGUUGUCACUGCGAUAUGCUCCAGUGACGAUUUGCUCCGACGACGAUUUGCUCCAGCGCUGAUUUUCUCAGCGGCGUUCUCCUCCGACUAGAAUCUCCUCUCCAUCGAGAUUCUGUUUUGUGAAUCGAAACUCUCUCCCUAUCUCCGUUAGUGACGAUCUCUCCAGCGAUGAUCUCCUAUGGUGAUGUUCUCCCCGGCGGCGCGUUCUCCUCCUCCGUCAAGAUUUUCUCCAGAUCUGUGAGCUUCUUCUCCUUUUUCGAGCUUAUGCUCUGCUAGCUUCUCCUCAUGCAUUAACGUGCCUUCUCCUCCUCGAUCUAUUUCUCAAUUUGCGUUCUAACUUCUCGCUUCUAGAUCUGUAACUAAAUUCACAUCCUCUUGUUCUAAUUACUUCAAUGAUUGCAGGAAUGAUGCAUAGGACAGAUCAAUGGCUGCGUGAAUUUGAUUCACAAAUAUUUAGUAAUAAUGCACUGAUUGCACUCUAUGUGUUUGUUAUUUUGCUUCUUAGAAAUUACUUCUAUUAGUAUUGUAUUUGGCUGUAUCUCCCGGUUUAAGGCUUGGAGUUUGUUCUUUGUUGCAAUUGAGUUUCAAAGAUUUUGUGAUUUAACUUGAAUUCUGCUUGUUUAAAUCUGGAUAAGUUAUUGGUUGCUUGAAUUAAUGAAUUCUUUCUAUGUUUCGAUUAUUGAUUGCAGUUGGUGCUUCUUGGAAGAAGGAUCAAACAUUGUUAACACUGCUGGUCGCCAAGGUUGCCUGGGUAAAUACUUAACUUUCUAUUUGCCAGUGUAUGUCUAGUUAAGUUUUAAUUCUCAUGUUAAACAAGUAUUCAUUAAUAUUGCUACUUCAUAUGAUGAGGAACACAUAGAUUCUUUGUAUUGCUCAGAACCACAUUAUUCUGAUGAUGAGGAACAUGAUCAUGUGUUUUUAGAAUAAGACAUGUUGUGUGAUGAUUCAGAGUUAAAAACUCUUGUAUCAAAAGAGCAAGAACAAGAGAAGAAUGGAAGAAGCAGCAGCCAUGGUUAAAAACUUUCUCAUUCUCUGCUCUCACAGCUUCUCUUGCUAUUAACUACCUUCACAGAUUCCUUUUCACCUUCACCGUGAAGAAGAAGCAGCCAUGGUUAACUCAUCUUGCUGCAGUUGCUUGCAUCUCUCUUGCUGCUAAAAUGGAAGAGACACAAGUUCCACUUCCUCUUGAUUUACAAGUGGAGGACAAAAAACAUGUGUUUAAGGCAAAAACAAUAAAGAAAAUGGAGAUUUUGGUACUUUCAACUCUUGAGUGGAAGAUGAAUCCACCAACACCUCUCUCUUUCAUUGAUCAUAUCACAAGAAGACUUAAAUGUUUUCAGUUCCUCAACACAUGUCAAUCUCUUCUUCUUUCUCUCUUACCAGGACCUCACAAUAUUCAGGGUAUUGGGGCUGGUUUUGUGCCCAGGAAUUUGAACUAAGAUAUACUUGAUGAAGUUAUAGAGGUAUCGAGUGAUGAAGCUGUUGAAACUGCAAAGCAAUUAGCACUCUAAGAAGGCUUACUGGCAUUGAAUUUAAAUAUCAAAUGCUUUUAUGGCUUUAGCAUCAUUCACUUCAAAUUUUGAAGGUGCUCUGGGGAAGAUUAUUGUGGAAUUUGAUGAUUUGAAAGAACUAGUUUACUGUGAUAUUCCCAGAAAACAGAGGAUUUAUUGUGCAAAUAGUUAGUGGAUUAGAUCAAGAGAGUGAGAUUCCAUCACCAAGAGAGUUAGAAAGUAGGUCUUCUGGCGAGCAACAAAGAAGCAUGAUCUUGCAUGAUAAAGAUUUUAUGUAUUAAGGAUUAUAUAUACGUUAAGACAAACUAUUGAAAAAUAUUAUCUUUGAUACUUUGUUUUUGGAUUAUGAUUUUUUAUUUUCGGAGACCAUGUAUGAGUUAAAAAUUUUGUUAUGAUGUUUGAUUUAAGGUUAUGCCUUUUGGUUAU